AGAAACCAACAGGGAUUGCCUCAGUAACGGCGAGUGAAGCGGCAACAGCUCAAAUUUGAAAUCUGGCGCCUUCGGCGUCCGAGUUGUAAUUUGUAGAGGAUGUUUCGGCGAGGGCUCCCGUCUAAGUCCCUUGGAACAGGGCGUCGCAGAGGGUGAGAAUCCCGUAUGUGAUGGGUUGCUCGAGCCAUGUGAAACUCCUUCGACGAGUCGAGUUGUUUGGGAAUGCAGCUCUAAAUGGGAGGUAAAUUUCUUCUAAAGCUAAAUACCGGCCAGAGACCGAUAGCGCACAAGUAGAGUGAUCGAAAGAUGAAAAGCACUUUGGAAAGAGAGUUAAAAAGUACGUGAAAUUGUUGAAAGGGAAGCGCUUGCAACCAGACUCGCGCGCAGUUGCUCAGCCGGUCUCCUGACCGGUGUACUCUUCUGCGUCCGGGCCAGCAUCAGUUCGGGCGGUCGGAUAAAGGCCUCGGGAAUGUGGCUCCCCUCGGGGAGUGUUAUAGCCCGGGGUGCAAUGCGGCCAGCCUGGACUGAGGAACUCGCUUCGGCUAGGAUGCUGGCGUAAUGGUUGUAAGCGGCCCGUCUUGAAACACGGACCAAGGAGUCUAACAUCUAUGCGAGUGUUUGGGUGUCAAACCCAUGCGCGUAAUGAAAGUGAACGGAGGUGGGAACCCUCACGGGUGCACCAUCGACCGAUCCUGAUGUCUUCGGAUGGAUUUGAGUAAGAGCAUAGCUGUUGGGACCCGAAAGAUGGUGAACUAUGCCUGAAUAGGGUGAAGCCAGAGGAAACUCUGGUGGAGGCUCGCAGCGGUUCUGACGUGCAAAUCGAUCGUCAAAUUUGGGUAUAGGGGCGAAAGACUAAUCGAACCAUCUAGUAGCUGGUUCCUGCCGAAG
rnacentral:rRNA from 1 species